rnacentral:rRNA from 1 species
ACGAACGCUGGCGGCGUGGAUAAGACAUGCAAGUCGAACGAGAGAAUUGCUAGCUUGCUAAUAAUUCUCUAGUGGCGCACGGGUGAGUAACACGUGAGUAACCUGCCCCCGAGAGCGGGAUAGCCCUGGGAAACUGGGAUUAAUACCGCAUAGUAUCGAAAGAUUAAAGCAGCAAUGCGCUUGGGGAUGGGCUCGCGGCCUAUUAGUUAGUUGGUGAGGUAACGGCUCACCAAGGCGAUGACGGGUAGCCGGUCUGAGAGGAUGUCCGGCCACACUGGAACUGAGACACGGUCCAGACACCUACGGGUGGCAGCAGUCGAGAAUCAUUCACAAUGGGGGAAACCCUGAUGGUGCGACGCCGCGUGGGGGAAUGAAGGUCUUCGGAUUGUAAACCCCUGUCAUGUGGGAGCAAAUUAAAAAGAUAGUACCACAAGAGGAAGAGACGGCUAACUCUGUGCCAGCAGCCGCGGUAAUACAGAGGUCUCAAGCGUUGUUCGGAAUCACUGGGCGUAAAGCGUGCGUAGGCUGUUUCGUAAGUCGUGUGUGAAAGGCGCGGGCUCAACCCGCGGACGGCACAUGAUACUGCGAGACUAGAGUAAUGGAGGGGGAACCGGAAUUCUCGGUGUAGCAGUGAAAUGCGUAGAUAUCGAGAGGAACACUCGUGGCGAAGGCGGGUUCCUGGACAUUAACUGACGCUGAGGCACGAAGGCCAGGGGAGCGAAAGGGAUUAGAUACCCCUGUAGUCCUGGCAGUAAACGGUGCACGCUUGGUGUGCGGGGAAUCGACCCCCUGCGUGCCGGAGCUAACGCGUUAAGCGUGCCGCCUGGGGAGUACGGUCGCAAGAUUAAAACUCAAAGAAAUUGACGGGGACCCGCACAAGCGGUGGAGUAUGUGGCUUAAUUCGAUGCAACGCGAAGAACCUUACCUGGGCUUGACAUGUAAUGAACAACAUGUGAAAGCAUGCGACUCUUCGGAGGCGUUACACAGGUGCUGCAUGGCCGUCGUCAGCUCGUGUCGUGAGAUGUUUGGUUAAGUCCAGCAACGAGCGCAACCCCUGUUGCCAGUUACCAGCACGUGAAGGUGGGGACUCUGGCGAGACUGCCCAGAUCAACUGGGAGGAAGGUGGGGACGACGUCAGGUCAGUAUGGCCCUUAUGCCCAGGGCUGCACACGUACUACAAUGCCCAGUACAGAGGGGGCCGAAGCCGCGAGGCGGAGGAAAUCCUGAAAACUGGGCCCAGUUCGGACUGUAGGCUGCAACCCGCCUACACGAAGCCGGAAUCGCUAGUAAUGGCGCAUCAGCUACGGCGCCGUGAAUACGUUCCCGGGUCUUGUACACACCACCCGUCACAUCAUGGAAGCCGGUCGCACCCGAAGUAUCUGAAGCCAACCGCAAGGAGGCAGGGUCCUAAGGUGAGACUGGUAACUGGGAUG